rnacentral:rRNA from 1 species
UACAGAGGGGCAAGCGUUAUUCGGAAUUAUUGGGCGUAAAGGGCGCGUAGGCGGCUUGGCAAGUGGAUGGUGAAAUCCCUCGGCUUAACCGAGGAACUGCCAUCCAGACUGCUUUGCUUGAGGCCGGGAGAGGUGAGUGGAAUUCCCAGUGUAGCGGUGAAAUGCGUAGAUAUUGGGAGGAACACCAGUGGCGAAGGCGGCUCACUGGACCGGUUCUGACGCUGAUGCGCGAAAGCGUGGGGAGCAAACGGG